UUGGAACUGUAGCAUGGACAUAUUGUUCGUUAACAUCAUACAAUGAGUAAUAAAACAGCGGGUUCUCAUGUUCGCUUUUUGUUUAAUGUAGCUAAAAGCAACAGCAGCAGUUUUAGCUGCAAGACCUUCUCCUCAUGCACAUAUUCAAAGCAAUUUCCCUCCAAGUAUUAGUUGGCACUAGACUGUGCACACUGUUCUAAAAUAGAAAACAAAAACGUUUUAAUGAUCCUCUCUACGUUGUAAAAAGCCUGUUGCGGUCUACAAAUAAGUCGCUUAUGAAACGAUCCACAGUGAAAAUGAAUGCUAACAUUAUAAAUGAACAAAACAUAUACUGUGCACAAAAUAUAAACAAAUAUCACGACGUGACACCGCUUUUACAACGAUAUUUACAUUUUGUAUCUUCGUUGUGUUAAAUAUUAAGUUAAGGGACAAUGAAGAAGUUUGUAUUCACUUGGAUUUGUCCCACAGCAGGGCGGAGUCUAUUUCCAUCAUGGCAACUUCAAAAUAGUUUGCCGUCUGGAAACAGCUUUAUGCGAAGUGAUUGAAGAGCGAUGAUAACAUAGUUUAAAAUUAUUCAAGUAUUUAAAUAACCCAAACCCAUCGACAUGAUGCCUACCAGCACUUCUAAAAUGAGGAGGCCGGCUGUUGAAGUUACAGCGUAUUUGUUUUGUCUUUUGACCCCAUGAUUAUCAAAAAAAGCAGGUCACACGAAUACUUACAAUGAAUGAGAAACAUGACAAUGUUUCUUUUGAUGUAUUUUCAGAUCAUCUAGAAAUGCUGCAACACCAAAAAAGCUCAAUGCAUCUGGUUCAGCGACAAUGAACAAAUUUAACCAGACUGCAAGUCGCAGCAUCUCAGGAUCAACGAGCCGAUGAAGUAUGGGUUUACACGCUGACAGCAAAAUACUGUAUAACGGCUCUCUUCAGAGGCAGAAAACAACGCCUAUGUGGGAUUGUGUAAAAACAGAGCUGGAAAUGGUCAAUACAUUGAGAGGAUGAAGCAGACUUUUAAUGGCGCACCAAAAACCAAAGAAGUCCAGUGUGAAAAAAUCGACGUUGCUGACGCAGGUGUGAUGGCAACCACGUGUGACAUGUAUGACACCUUCCUUCCAUUCUGCUGAAGUGAAGACCAUGGACUUUCACGUGGCAGAGAAAUCAAGUCAAUAUGCAAGUUUCAUAAGCAGUGGACCUGAAAGAACAAUGUCUAGAAUGAGUGAAACAAGUAUGACUUGGAUCCUACUGUUGUGAGUCCAGCCAGCCCUGGAGUGAAUCUCACCGCACUGCUGUUUGCUACAAAAACAGACUGUAUCCUAAUUGGUGACAGUGAUGGACAAGUCAGUGUUUAUGAACUAAAGAACCUACAAACUGGAGAAGAUAGCCAGCCGAAUGCACUAUAUGACAUAAUUGGGACAACUCUGGCCAGUCAACUGUAAUUAACAUCGCAAUUUUAAGUACCAAAGACGCAAAAUAAAUGUACACAGCUGUUUUUUUGGGAUGCAUAUUAUUCAUAUAGUGUGUAUUUAUAAUAAAAGAAAAUGUAACUAAAUGUAAUACUUCUAUUCACCGUGUUAGUUGCUUUUAUAUAAUGGUUAGUCAUAAAAGUAUAGUGGGAGACAGACAGUCUCUCUCAAAGAAGAAUAAUCAGAUCAAAGUCUAAUUCAAACCGUCUUGUUCUAAAUGUACUUACCAAUAUAUCUUAUUGCUUUAAUGUUGUAGAUGCAGACUGAGAAACAUGUAUUGAAAUAUGGCUUUACCAAAAUAAGAACAAUGAUUAAAUGAGAAAAAAAGAUAUUGUGAAACACGUCCAGUAAACUCUGGGGGAAACUCAUUUUUUCUGGGGGAAAAGGUAACAAAAUGCACAAUAUUUGGGUUGGUGUUGGUCAUUUUUUGUUUUAGUUCAAAACAAAAAUGAUUGAAAAAGAUUAAGUUUCCAACACAUGCAAAGUUCUCUCACAUCUAACCAUGAUUAAGCCUCGAUUGCAGCAUAGUUGGUAUUAAGAGAUUAUUACCUCCAGGUUUUGAGAACGUUCCAAUUAUCAUGAUAAAUAGGGCUGUGUAUGAAAAAUAAUUAAAUGAGUUUACGAGAUCAAAAGAAAACAAUCCACAAUUACACUCACAGGCAAAGGCAUACCUACAGAAACAUACACAAUACGAAACAUACGUUUCAUUUUUUAAAUAUCACUGUAAUUCCCUACUGUUAGAACAACAGUCUAGGAGUAUAGGAGGCAGUGUGGUCCAGUGGUUAAAGAAAAGGGCUUGUAACCAGGAGGUCCCCGGUUCAAAUCCCACCUCAGCCACUGACUCAUUGUGUGACCCUGAGCAAGUCACUUAACCUCCUUGUGCUCCGUCUUUGGGGUGAGACGUAGUUGUAAGUGACUCUGCAGCUGAUGCAUAGUUCACACACCCUAGUCUCUGUAAGUCGCCUUGGAUAAAGGCGUCUGUUAAAUAAACAAAUAAUAAUAAUAAUAACAGUCUCCAGUCUGAUUAUGCCAACUGAAGGACAAGCGAUUGUAAUUGGGUAUAAAUUCUGUGAAAGAACCUUGAUAUUUGUAUGAUUCCUUUUUAAAAAAUGUAAACCAUGGUGAUAUAUGUACCACUGCAAUGAACAAACAAUUGAAUCUGACAAAGGGUGUAACUGCUGUAUGCGCAAUAGUAUAUCAAACCUCACAAUUCUGCCCCAGAUUGUCUUUUUGAUUCACAAAAAACACCCUUGCUCUUCCAGACACUGCCCUUCUGAAUAUGGUCACAAUGAUAGAACUUCAAAAUUCACUUUGUACACCAGCUUUAUAAUUCAUGUUGUGGGAAAAUUCAGGCACAUUUUUCAUCAGUAUAUCAGGGACAAAAAUCUAUGUCUUAUUGAUUGAGUAAUUUAGACUUUUCCCCAUGCUUAUACUGUACAUUUACUAUAAUUUAACAUGGUUUGUACAAUGCUUUUUAAAAACCUGUUAGUGCUUUAGAAUGCUUGACUGUAUUUCACUGUAUUUUGUGAGGCUUUUACCAUAAAUAAAAGGGUAUAUUACACUACAAGCAUAUUUUGAAAAGCCUUUAAUUUAACUAGGAAAAUUAGACCUUAUUUCAGGAUUAGCAAACAAUAUGCCAGAUACUGAAAACACAAAGCCAAUGUAAAUAUUCCAGUGGGAUUAGGACUAAAACAAAUGCAGAGAGCGGACCAGCACAAGUUUACUUAAACAGCACACAAGUAUUUCAAAAUCUUUUCUUGCGAUAUGUGUUAAAACAGAACACUUUCAACACAGUACGUUAAUGUGCUCACAACAGCCUAAUAGGCCCAUUACAGUGAGAGCAAAGUGGCAAUCAAGCACUUAACUUUUUUUAACAACUGUUCUACUAUCUGUCUUUAAAAUUAGUCAGCCGUGCUUAUUUGUAAGCUAUUUAUAAUAAAAGGUAAUUGAGCAUUUCUAAAUGGCUUGUCAUUAUAGAUAUGUUUUCCAGAUUAUAGCUAUAAAGCCCAAGGACAGAAUAAACUAGCCUAUGGCUCACCAAAGGUCUACUGGGAAAUCAUGUACAUUAUGUGGCAUUAUCAUGACAGACAAUUAAAGAUUAGAACACCAUGGACCGCUUUAUGAAGCAAUACAAAGGCAGUUUUUUGUAUUAAUGUGGAGAAAAUGAUUGUCAAUAUACUGUCAACUACCAAAAAUAAAAUGAGUUACUGAACAAUAUAUUUAAAUUAUUGUUCUCAGUAGUUUCUUGCUUGGUUUAUUCAGUUUUUCCUCUGGAAAUUGCUUUACAAUUAUUUCCCAUCUGCCUACAAAUCAAAUGAAAUAGUAGCAAAACACAUAUAUCUGAUAAAAAGUGUAUUGCAGUAUGCCAUUGUAAAUACCUACUGUUGCAAAAUACAGUAAAAGCAAAUUAAAGCUUGUCAAAUUCAAACUAUGUAAAAUAAAGCUCCUAGUUAACCAUAGCAAAGGAAAUAUAAUGCUCACCAUUACUUUGCUACAGUCAAAUACCAUGAUAUAAAUUGUGCAGAAUGCCAAAGCACAAGGUACUUCUUUAAACUUUUAUUUAGUUAGAUGUUAGGUGUGCACCUGCCUGAUGAAUGCAUCAACAGUCUACACGACUUCUAGCAUAACAGUAUGGACAAAUACAUUAUCUGGAAUCUCAGAAAAUCUGUGGAACAUAUGAUUUACUGUACAAAAUGUUAAUAUUACAACACUAGUAAAACACAUAUACAUAUACAGAUCCUUAUAUCUGAAUUGUCCACUUUUAGUUUUCAAACAACAGCUUUCAAUUGUUCCUUUUAGAAGAAAACUAUAUUUAAAAAAAUAUGUUAUCUACUCUUCAUAACUUCAGUUGUUGUGCAUUUGAAUUCAUUAGCACUGCAGUACUUUUAAGGCCAGAGCACUAUAGUAAUUAAACCUGGGGUUUUUAAAAUGGAAUGGGAUGACCGCAAAGGAUGUAAUUCUAACCGUCAUUAUGCUUGUAAAGUGAUAAUUGCUGGACGGGAAUCACUUUACACAAAGUGAGUCGCAAAUGGCACCAUAAAACAUAAGGGGAAACCAAAAAUGAAUUAUCCCUGUGAGUAGCCUCUGUGUAAAGCAAAAACAGGAAUUAGUGGAUAUGGCAGCCAAUAGCAGCUAGGUAGCAGGCUACAUAUAUUGAAGCUGAGCAGAGGUGUGUUCACAGUCAGCAGCUUGGAAGAGCAGCUCCUC